rnacentral:rRNA from 1 species
UACGAAGGGGGCUAGCGUUGCUCGGAAUCACUGGGCGUAAAGGGCGCGUAGGCGGCUGAUUUAGUCGAGGGUGAAAGCCCGUGGCUCAACCACGGAAUGGCCUUCGAUACUGGUUGGCUUGAGACCGGAAGAGGACAGCGGAACUGCGAGUGUAGAGGUGAAAUUCGUAGAUAUUCGCAAGAACACCAGUGGCGAAGGCGGCUUACUGGUCCGGUUCUGACGCUGAGGCGCGAAAGCGUGGGGAGCAAACAGG